CAGAGUGUCUGUGAGAAACCUCCAGAGGCUUGUACUUCUAGCAUAUGUGUUGUGUCCUCUUCACAAUCAAAGAAUAGAAUCAAUGAACAUAGAGAAGAUGCAGGAUCUGUAUCUCUGUACAAGGGUGAAAAGGAAAUCAUGAUAUUGACUAAAACAAAGGAAGCAGGAUUAGGAGAUGUGCCAUGCUCCCAGAUGGGCUCUAAGGACGUACAUGCUUCCUACAAG